UACGAAGGGGGCUAGCGUUAAUCGGAAUCACUGGGCGUAAAGCGCACGUAGGCGGGUUCUUAAGUCAGGGGUGAAAUCCUGGAGCUCAACUCCAGAACUGCCUUUGAUACUGGGAAUCUCGAGUCCGGGAGAGGUGAGUGGAACUGCGAGUGUAGAGGUGAAAUUCGUAGAUAUUCGCAAGAACACCAGUGGCGAAGGCGGCUCACUGGCCCGGUACUGACGCUGAGGUGCGAAAGCGUGGGGAGCAAACAGG
rnacentral:rRNA from 1 species